AACGAACGCUGGCGGCAGGCCUAACACAUGCAAGUCGAACGCCCUAGCAAUAGGGAGAGGCAGACGGGUGAGUAACACGUGGGAACCUUCCCUAUAGUACGGAAUAGCCCAGGGAAACUUGGAGUAAUACCGUAUACGCCCGAGAGGGGAAAGAUUUAUCGCUAUAGGAUGGGCCCGCGUUGGAUUAGCUAGUUGGUGAGGUAAUGGCUCACCAAGGCGACGAUCCAUAGCUGGUCUGAGAGGACGACCAGCCACACUGGGACUGAGACACGGCCCAGACUCCUACGGGAGGCAGCAGUGGGGAAUAUUGGACAAUGGGCGCAAGCCUGAUCCAGCCAUGCCGCGUGAGUGAUGAAGGCCUCAGGGUUGUAAAGCUCUUUUGGCGGGGACGAUAAUGACGGUACCCGCAGAAUAAGUCCCGGCUAACUUCGUGCCAGCCGCCGCAGUAACAC
rnacentral:rRNA from 1 species